GAUGAACGCUAGCGGCAGGCUUAAUACAUGCAAGUCGAACGGGAUUGAGAAGCUUGCUUUUCAUGAGAGUGGCGCACGGGUGCGUAACACGUAUGCAACCUACCUUGUCCAGGGGGAUAGCCCGUUGAAAGACGGAUUAAGACCGCAUAACAUUGAGCUGUGGCAUCACAAAUCAAUCAAAUAUUUAUAGGAUUAAGAUGGGCAUGCGUGACAUUAGCUAGUUGGCGGGGUAACGGCCCACCAAGGCGACGAUGUCUAGGGGAUCUGAGAGGAUGACCCCCCACACUGGUACUGAGACAUGGACCAGACUCCUACGGGAGGCAGCAGUAAGGAAUAUUGGUCAAUGGAGGCAACUCUGAACCAGCCAUGCCGCGUGCAGGAAGACAGCCCUCUGGGUCGUAAACUGCUUUUAUUCGGGAAUAAACCUACUUACGUGUAAGUAGCUGAAUGUACCGAAGGAAUAAGGAUCGGCUAACUCCGUGCCAGCCGCCGCGGUAA
rnacentral:rRNA from 1 species